GAUGAAGAACGUAGCGAAAUGCGAUACGUAAUGUGAAUUGCAAAUUCAGUGAAUCAUCGAGUCUUUGAACGCACAUUGCGCCCCCUGGUAUUCCGGGGGGCAUGCCUGUCCGAGCGUCAUUGCUGCCUCAAGCACGGCUUGUGUGUUGGGCCCCGUCCUCCGAUUCCGGGGGACGGGCCCGAAAGGCAGCGGCGGCACCGCGUCCGGUCCUCGAGCGUAUGGGGCUUUGUCACCCGCUCUGUAGGCCCGGCCGGCGCUUGCCGAUCAACCCAAAUUUUUAUCCAGGUUGACCUCGGAUCAGGUAGGGAUACCCGCUGAACUUAAGCAUAUCAAUAAGCGGAGGA
rnacentral:misc_RNA from 1 species